rnacentral:misc_RNA from 1 species
GAUGAAGAACGUAGCAAAAUGCGAUACUUGGUGUGAAUUGCAGAAUCCCGUGAACCAUCGAGUUUUUGAACGCAAGUUGCGCCCGAAGCCUUUUGGCCGAGGGCACGUCUGCCUGGGCGUCACGCAUCGCGUCGCCCCCACAAAUUCUCCGUCAGGGGAGCUUGUGUUUCGGGGGCGGAUACUGGUCUCCCGUGCUCAUGGCGCGGUUGGCCGAAAUAGGAGUCCCUUCGAUGGACGCACGAACUAGUGGUGGUCGUAAAAACCCUCGUCUUUUGUUUCGUGCCGUUAGUCGCGAGGGAAGCUCUUUAAAAACCCCAACGCGUCGUCUCUUGACGGCGCUUCGACCGCGACCCCAGGUCAGGCGGGACUACCCGCUGAGUUUAAGCAUAUCAAUAAGCGGAGGA